rnacentral:rRNA from 1 species
GUGGGGGAGCAAACAGGAUUAGAUACCCUGGUAGUCCCCGCCGUAAAACGAUGUCGAUUUGGAGGUUGUGCCCUUGAGGCGUGGCUUCCGGAGCUAACGCGUUAAAUCGGACCGCCUGGGGGAGUACGCCCGCAAGGUUAAAACUCAAAUGAAUUGACGGGGGCCCCGCACAAGCGCUGGCCCCCCCCGGUUUAAUUCGAUGCAACGCGAAGAACCUUACCUGGUCUUGACAUCCACAGAACUUUCCACCCCCCCAUUGGUGCCUUCGGGAACUGUGAGACAGGUGCUGCAAAAAAAAAAAGUCAGCUCGUGUUGUGAAAUGUUGGGUUAAGUCCCGCAACGAGCGCAACCCUUAUCCUUUGUUGCCAGCGGUUAGGCCGGGAACUCAAAGGAGACUGCCAGUGAUAAACUGGAGGAAGGUGGGGAUGACGUCAAGUCAUCAUGGCCCUUACGACCAGGGCUACACACGUGCUACAAUGGCGCAUACAAAGAGAAGAGACCUCGCGAGAGCAAGCGGACCUCAUAAAGUUUUUUGUGAAGACGGAUUGGAGUCUGCAACUCGACUCCAUGAAGUCGGAAUCGCUAGUAAUCGUAGAUCAGAAGUCUUCAUACGUUCCCGGGCCUUGUACACA